CUGAAAAUAGAUAGAGAGAAAAAAAAAACAGAAUAAGGACAUUUUUAUAAUCAUGAUGAAAGAUUCUAUGGACAAUUUGAAUGUGUGAUGUAAAAUGAUAGUCUUUUUUUGUUUUAUUUUGUAUGUGUCUUCUUACGAGUUUCCGUUUUCUAA
rnacentral:ribozyme from 13 species